GCUUCCCAGUGUCACCAUCCUGCUUCCUGCUGCUCUUUGUUUUACCACCUGGCCACAAUCCACGAGGUGGAUGAAACCAUUGCCAUCGAAUCUGGACUCAGAGGAUGGAAAGUAGAUUGCAAAUAACAGACUUGCUGUCUUUGAAGAAUUGUGGGAACACUGCAGUGCCUCAAGUGUUUGCAACAUGCCCUUGAGCUAAAUAUCAAUUAAACUUGACCUCCCUGGAUAUACUGCAUCAAGGCUUGAACUGGGAAGAUUAUGUAUACCAGAGUGCAUCACUGCUUGGGUUAGAACAGUCCUGUAUUUGAAAGGAUUAAUCAGGCUACUGAAAAUGCAUCUUCUGUAAACUGCAACAGGAAUGUCUGCACAUUUGGGAAGCAGCAACAUAAAGUGAUGCCUACAGUCUGCCAUGAAUCUUAACAGCUGUGCAUUUAUUCCCAUGUGUAGUAUAAUACACUAAUGUACAAAA